GCGGGUGUAGUUCAAUGGUAGAACAUCAGCUUCCCAAGCUGGUUACGGCAGUUCGAUUCUGCUCACCCGCU
rnacentral:tRNA from 1 species